CUACGGGCCGCUGCAGUGGGGAAUAUUGCACAAUGGGCGCAAGCCUGAUGCAGCCAUGCCGCGUGUAUGAAGAAGGCCUUCGGGUUGUAAAGUACUUUCAGCGGGGAGGAAGGGAGUAAAGUUAAUACCUUUGCUCAUUGACGUUACCCGCAGAAGAAGCACCGGCUAACUCCGUGCCAGCAGCCGCGGUAAUACGGAGGGUGCAAGCGUCAAUCGGAAUUACUGGGCGUAAAGCGCACGCAGGCGGUUUGUUAAGUCAGAUGUGAAAUCCCCGGGCUCAACCUGGGAACUGCAUCUGAUACUGGCAAGCUUGAGUCUCGUAGAGGGGGGUAGAAUUCCAGGUGUAGCGGUGAAAUGCGUAGAGAUCUGGAGGAAUACCGGUGGCGAAGGCGGCCCCCUGGACGAAGACUGACGCUCAGGUGCGAAAGCGUGGGGAGCAAACAGGAUUAGAUACCCCGGUAGUC
rnacentral:rRNA from 1 species